GAUGAACGCUAGCGGCAGGCCUAAUACAUGCCAGUCGGACGGGAUUCAGGAGCUUGCUUCUGAUGAGAGUGGCGCACGGGUGCGUAACACGUAUGUAACCUACCUUUAUCAGGGGGAUAGCCUCUCGAAAGAGAGAUUAAGCCCGCAUAAAAUCACAGCACAGCAUUGUGUAAUGAUCAAAUAUUUAUAGGAUAAAGAUGGGCAUGCGGAACAUUAGCUAGAUGGCGGGGUAACGGCCCACCAUGGCGACGAUGUUUAGGGGAUCUGAGAGGAUGGCCCCCCACACCGGUACUGAGACACGGACCAGACUCCUACGGGAGGCAGCAGUAAGGAAUAUUGGUCAAUGGGCGGAAGCCUGAACCAGCCAUGCCGCGUGCAGGAAGACGGCCCUACGGGUUGUAAACUGCUUUUAUACGGGAAUAAACCCAGAUACGUGUAUCUGGCUGAAUGUACUGUAAGAAUAAGGAUCGGCUAACUCCGUG
rnacentral:rRNA from 1 species